rnacentral:rRNA from 1 species
GACGGAGGAUGCAAGCGUUAUCCGGAAUGAUUGGGCGUAAAGCGUCCGCAGGUGGCAGUUCAAGUCUGCUGUCAAAGACCGGGGCUUAACUUCGGAAAGGCAGUGGGAAACUGAACAGCUAGAGUAUGGUAGGGGCAGAGGGAAUUCCUGGUGUAGCGGUGAAAUGCGUAGAGAUCAGGAAGAACAUCGGUGGCGAAGGCGCUCUGCUGGACCAUAACUGACACUCAGGGACGAAAGCUAGGGGAGCGAAUGGG